GCUUUCGUGGUGUAGCGGCCAGCACACUCGACGCGUAUUCGAGAGGUCUGUGGUUCGAGUCCCGGCGAAGGCA
rnacentral:tRNA from 1 species